AUUGAACGCUGGCGGCAUGCCUUACACAUGCAAGUCGAACGGCAGCACGGGAGCAAUCCUGGUGGCGAGUGGCGAACGGGUGAGUAAAGUAUCGGAACGUGCCCAGUCGUGGGGGAUAACGUAGCGAUAGUUACGCUAAUACCGCAUACGAUCUAUGGACGAAAGCGGGGGAUCGCAAGACCUCGCGCGAUUGGAGCGGCCGAUAUCAGAGUAGGAAGUUGGUGGGGGAAAGGCUCACCAAGCCGACGAGCUGUAGCUGGUCUGAGAGGACGACCAGCCACACUGAGACUGAGACACGGCCCAGAAUCCUGCGGGAGGCAGCAGUGGCGAAUUUUGGACAAUGGGCGCAAGCCUGAGCCAACCAUGCCGCGUGCAGGAUGAAGGCCUUCGGGUUGUAAACUGCUUUUGUACGGAACGAAAAGGUUUGGCUUAAUACGUUGAACUCAUGACGGUACCGUAAGAAUAAGCACCGGCUAACUACGUGCCAGCAGCCGCCGUAA
rnacentral:rRNA from 1 species